AAUUUUGAAACGAAGAUAAAUUAUAUCAUAGGUUUCUCAUGGUGAAUGAAAUCAUGAGUCAUGACUCAUCAUAGUUUGUGUUUGCGAAGGUGUUUCUCCGGCAGAUUUAUUAGCACUAAAAGCUAGCAACUGGCUAUGUACGUCAAUGCAUCAGAACCGGUCAGAACGCUUCUGGAACGUGGAGUGAUGACGAGGUAUGUAAACAGGAAACGGCGAAGUGCGUGAUGGUUGCUGUCAUGUGACACACGCCACCACAAGAAAGCGGAAACGCAUCGUAGAGCGAGAGCCAUGUGGGAUCCUUGCUCCUGAUAUCCUGAUGUAUGGGUUGCAUUUCAUUAUAUGAUUCCAACAGAACACUCACAGAAAGGAGAAUGGUGUCAAACUACAAGACUGCCAGCAUGUGAACAAGGCCUUGUUUGUCCUUGUUUGGCUACUCAUUUGUUUACUUCCUGAAGAGGCUGAAGCAUGCUGGCCUUGACACCUCAGUCCUUGCUUCCAUUAACAGGUGUGUUACGGAGCGCAUCCUCACAUCAUGAUCUACUGCAGCGGUGGAAACAGAGGACAAUUGGCAGGUUGUCAGCUGUUGUCAGGCUCAUCACCAAAGCAGAAAGACAUAGUGAGACCAGACAUGCCAGGAAGGAGCAAGGCAAAGCCCAGGAAUUUUUCUGCAGCUGUUCCCGCCAGCUAUAGAAGGACUGCUCCUGAGAAUAGAUGGGUGUCUACAUUGUUUUGCAAAAUGGGUCUUCUACACAUGAUGCUUGUCAAGCACUGCUCAUUGACUGGCUAGGGGUCCUCUGUAUUGUGGCCACUGGUCAAAGGCGCCACAUGACUGUCUCAGAGUCCUCUACAUCAUUCCGGUGAUGGGACUUCUGGCCUAGUCUGACAGGAUGGGUCUUGUGUUACUGUGACCAGACAGCUCAACAAUGCAUCAUUCUCAUCCAUGCCCUCAUCGCCUCAAGACUAGAGUACUACAACAGCAUUCUCUAUGGUCUUGAAAAAUAUUAUUGUCUUUAUUAUAAUAAUAAUAAUAAUAAUAAUAAGUACAGGUCUCUCUGCACCCGAACCAGCAGGUUCAGAGGAAGCUUCUUUUCUGUAGCUGUCAUCCUACUGGACUGUAGCUCUGUAUCCCGGUGACAACCCAUCAACUAAGCCCCCAAUACCCUAUCCCACCCCAUAGUGUUAUUUAUUUACAAAUGCACAUACUGUAAUUAUAAUUAUACAUAACCAUAUUCUACUGCUCUUCAUAUUAUCCAUCCUGAACAUACACUUCUUACUACUCUUAUAAUGUUACUGUAGCUGUACGUACUAUACAUAUCUGUGUAUCUGGUUCAUAUCUGAAUAUCAUAUUUAUUCUGUUUCUCAUAUGUUCUGUUAAUACACUGCCCAUAUUUAUAUCUAAUGUAUAUGACUCUAAACCACCUUCUGUAAACCAACUGCAUAUUACUGUCUACACGACACUAUAUUUCUUGUCCUGCCUAUGCACCAUCUGUCUAUACUUUGUAUAUCACAUUGCACUUUUGCUUUGUACAGGGU